AUGCCAUUUGAAAACCAAAGUGAGAGAGGUGCAUUCCAUCUGAUUCCUCAAAGACAUGGUGCCAGCUAUUUCAUGAUGUCCAUCUCAUUAGGCACAAAACCCUUGUAUGUGAAUCAAGGGGUGUCCAAUCCUUUGACUUCCUGGGGUCACACUGAAAGAAGAAUUGUCUUGGGCCACACAAAAUACACUAACAUUAAUGAUAGCUGAUAAGCCAAAAAGAAAUUGCAAAAAUAAUUCAUAAAGUUUUAAGACAAUUUACAAAUUUGUGUUGGGCUGCAUUCAAACUCGUGUUGGGCUGUGUUUAAAGUCGUCCUGGGCUGUAUGUGGCCCACAGGCUGCAGGCUGGACAAGCUUGCAUUAGAUCCUAGAAAAAUUAUUGUGUAUAUACUCUUAAAAACCCAUACAUAAAGCCAAAUAAUAAUAAAGCUUUUAAAAGUAAAGUUUUAUUUGUUGUU
rnacentral:lncRNA from 13 species